rnacentral:rRNA from 1 species
GAUCCUGGUUCAGGAUGAACGCUAGCGGCAGGCCUAACACAUGCAAGUCGAGGGGCAGCACGGUGUAGCAAUACACUGGUGGCGACCGGCGCACGGGUGCGUAACGCGUAUGCAACCGUACCCAUAACAGGGGGAUAACACUGAGAAAUUGGUACUAAUACCCCAUAACAUCAGGACCGGCAUCGGUUCUGGUUGAAAAACUCCGGUGGUUAUGGAUGGGCAUGCGUUGUAUUAGCUGGUUGGUGAGG